rnacentral:rRNA from 1 species
UACGGGGGGAGCAAGCGUUGUUCGGAUUUACUGGGCGUAAAGGGCGCGUAGGCGGUCGUGACAAGUCACUUGUGAAAUCUCCGGGCUUAACUCGGAACGGUCAAGUGAUACUGUCGGACUAGAGUACAGAAGGGGCAACUGGAAUUCUCGGUGUAGCGGUGAAAUGCGUAGAUAUCUGGAGGAACACCGGUGGCGAAGGCGGCAUCCUGGACCAAUAUUGACGCUGAGGAGCGAAAGCCAGGGGAGCAAACGGG